GUAACUUGAGAAUAGAAAUCGCUGUAUCGUUUAGGCGCAUCAAUAUUACAUAGUUACAUCCCAAGCUAAUAAGAGGGAGGUAAAAAUUAAGUAACAUUUCCUUAAAAC